rnacentral:lncRNA from 1 species
ACCGCAGCAGCCGGGUGUGAGGGCAGGGCUGGGUAUUCGGAGACCUUCAGAAGCCUGGUCACGGAGGGCCUGCCCAGGGACCCCCCUGCCUCUCCCCCCAGGCCCCACGGCGGCAGAGACUCACAGGCAAAGAACUGCCAGGGCUGGUAGGUGCGGCCGAAGUCCAUGGACCGCUCCAGCACCCAGAGGUCCGGCCGGGGUGAGUUGGCAAACUUGAUGAGGACGUAGGCCACGUGGAAGACCUGUGGGCCGAGAGGGCGUCAGGGGAGCCAGGGGCGCCUGGAUUCCCAUGCUCCCAGGGGCCUGGCUCAUUUUCUGCCCCUCAGCAGGUACGCCCGGGAACAGCUGGGUGCUGUUGGCCAGGUAGGCCUGGAAGCCUAGGGCCCCAAGGGGGAGAGUGGGGUCCCCCAGAGCUGCACAAGACCUACAGUCACCCCACUGGACUGAGCCGGACUGAGACUGCUGUGGGGUCCCCCAUGAAAAGACCACAGACCCCUCAUAGCUUCAGCCCUUGGGGGCACCAGCUGCCCAGACUCCAGACAGGGGCCCUGGACAGCUGUCCUCGAGGGCCUGGUGGCUGCACAGAUGGUCACAGGAAGGGAAGCCCGCGCUGGAGGACUCCCAUCUGUCUCUGACCUGGUCGCGGCUCCCAGGGCCACACCGGCCGCCCUCGCCAUGACCCGGAGCGAGCGCAGACCCCUGGCUUCGGGACCGCCCUUCCCCCUCCACGCCCCGCUCAGCUCAGCUGCCAGUGCUGACCUUUCCGCUGCUACAUGGUUCUGUGCAGAAAGAAAAAAAAAAGUCUUUUAAAGCAAAAGCCAAACAAAAAAAAAAAAAA